AUGCGUGUGCUAGGACUUGCCGCCAUCGAGAGGGCGCGCAAAAGACAGGCCUCGCGCGUGUCUUGGCUACGGGCGGGAGACGCCAAGAUGGCGUUCUUUCAGGCGAAGAUCAACUCGCGGCGCCAAAAAAACUUCAUCCAGGCCAUUCAUACAAUGGACUCCAUCGCCACCUCCCAUGGCGACAAAAAGUGGAUCAUCCACGAGCACUUCCGCUCAUCGCUGGGUGCUAAACGCCCUCGUAGCCGCACCAUCAACUGGGAGGCCAUUCAACUUCCAUCCCUGCUGGCAGCUGGCCUCGACAAUCCAUUCACCGAAGACGAGGUU
rnacentral:rRNA from 1 species